rnacentral:tRNA from 1 species
GCCCUGGUGGUGAAAUUGGUAUACACAAGGGACUUAAAAUCCCUCGCUCUAUAAAUAAAGCUUGCCGGUUCAAGUCCGGCCCAGGGCACCA